CAAAUGUCAUUUUUUCUUCUGCUUUCUCCAACAUAUUCUCUCUCUUCCUCUUCUUUCUUUUCUCAUCCGCUGCUUCUCUCUUCAUCUUCUUUUUUUCUUCUCUCUUCGUCUGGCUCUCUCUUCCUAUUCUUCUUUGUUCUCUCUUACUUUUUUUCAACAAAGACUAUAGGAUUCUGGGAGAUUUUACAGAGAUAUACAAAUAAAAAAUUUUCAAGAUAGAUAUUGGGUUAUGAAAGAAACUCCAGAUGAAAUGAACACAAAAUUUAGGAGGUGGAUGGUUUGACAGUGGUAGAUCUGUGGUGGUAGCAACGUGUUUCCGGCGGCGAGUGUGAUGGUUUGAAAAUGAUAUAGCUAUUGUUUUCAGGUGCUGGUAGUGACACGGUAUUUGCCUGCAGCAGGUCCCUUGAGACUGGUGUGAAGAGCUUCGGAUACGCCAGGUUAUGUUAUUUAGACACCAGUUAGCUUGAUGUAUAUGGCUGCUGAGAUAAUGUGACGGUCAUUGAAUCCGAAUGGAAUGAAUCAUUUUUCUUUGCAUGUGAUUUGUUAUUCCAAAGGAAAUGAUUGAUUGCGUCACGAAGUUCAGACGGAUACUUUGCAUUAAUGCUUAUCAGAAUCUUUUUCUUUGUAAUGAUUUUCUUUGUUGCGUGUUGCUAAUCUUUUCCACUUUAACUUUGAAAUGUAGGAGAUUAUUACUGUUUUGACUAUAUUCUGUUUCUUAUGACCUUUUUGUUAUAAGCCUGCGGUGAUCGUGCUCUUCGAGGAUUACAUGAAUGGGAAGAACACACACGUGGUCGUGAGCAUUGCAAAUUUAUGAACCCAAUUGUUAUAUCAAUUUAGAAUUUGAUAGUGUUUCAAUUUCACUGUAUUGAUGGUUCCUCUGUUCUUUAAUUUAUUUACUUCUUAAAUAGGCUGGCUGGAAGCUCAACGUAAGAUUAGCCAAACCAGCUGCAAAUGGAAAUGUAUGUCGGUCGAGUUCACUGCAGGAGUCUGGUUCGAAAUCAAUUUGUGGUGAUAUGUUUUGCAUUUGUCCCAUGCUCAUGAAGCUCAAGGUAUUGCUUAUAUUUUGUCCAGUUGAUUUAAACUUAUUACACUCUAAAAAAAAAUCAAUUUGUGUUGCUGCAUGCUCAGUUGUUUAUAUGAUUUUUGCCUAUAUUUCAAUAAAUAAAGGGUUGAGUUCUUGAUGUCCUUGUCUGAUGCUUCUUAAUGUUUACAUGGAUUGUGUUUUUAAAGGCUUAAUUUUGGUCCAAAGUUUAAUUAACUUUUUUUCUAGCUGAAUGAUAGUCCAUUUUCUCAUUGAAAAUAAUGUCUUGAAUUUUGAUAUUUGAAACUUGGGAAAACAUGGGAGAAAAAAUGG